CAGUCGAACGAGUUCUCGUUGAUGAUCGGUGCUUGCACCGAGAUUCAACAUGGAACGAGUGGCGGACGGGUGAGUAACACGUGGGUAACCUGCCCUUAAGUGGGGGAUAACAUUUGGAAACAGAUGCUAAUACCGCAUAGAUCCAAGAACCGCAUGGUUCUUGGCUGAAAGAUGGCGUAAGCUAUCGCUUUUGGAUGGACCCGCGGCGUAUUAGCUAGUUGGUGAGGUAAUGGCUCACCAAGGCGAUGAUACGUAGCCGAACUGAGAGGUUGAUCGGCCACAUUGGGACUGAGACACGGCCCAAACUCCUACGGGAGGCAGCAGUAGGGAAUCUUCCACAAUGGACGCAAGUCUGAUGGAGCAACGCCGCGUGAGUGAAGAAGGCUUUCGGGUCGUAAAACUCUGUUGUUGGAGAAGAAUGGUCGGCAGAGUAACUGUUGUCGGCGUGACGGUAUCCAACCAGAAAGCCACGGCUAACUACGUGCCAGCAGCCGCGGUAAUACGUAGGUGGCAAGCGUUAUCCGGAUUUAUUGGGCGUAAAGCGAGCGCAGGCGGUUUUUUAAGUCUGAUGUGAAAGCCCUCGGCUUAACCGAGGAAGCGCAUCGGAAACUGGGAAACUUGAGUGCAGAAGAGGACAGUGGAACCCCAUGUGUAGCGGUGAAAUGCGUAGAUAUAUGGAAGAACACCAGUGGCGAAGGCGGCUGUCUGGUCUGUAACUGACGCUGAGGCUCGAAAGCAUGGGUAGCGAACAGGAUUAGAUACCCUGGUAGUCCAUGCCGUAAACGAUGAAUGCUAGGUGUUGG
rnacentral:rRNA from 1 species